GUUUGAUCCUGGCUCAGGAUGAACGCUGGCGGCGUGCCUAAUACAUGCAAGUCGAACGAAUCUCUUUUAGAGAUGAGUGGCGAACGGGUGAGUAAUACAUAGGUAACCUGCCCCUGUGCGGGGGAUAACAGGAGGAAACUCCUGCUAAUACCGCAUAGCCAUGAGCACCGCAUGGAGCUCAUGCCAAAUAUCCUUUCGGGGAUAGCGCAGGGAUGGACCUAUGGCGCAUUAGCUGGUUGGCGGGGCAACGGCCCACCAAGGCAACGAUGCGUAGCCGGCCUGAGAGGGCGGACGGCCACAUUGGGACUGAGACACGGCCCAGACUCAUACGGGAGGCAGCAGUAGGGAAUUUUCGGCAAUGGGGGAAACCCUGACCGAGCAACGCCGCGUGAGCGAGGAAGGCCUUCGGGUCGUAAAGCUCUGUUGUAAAGGAAGAACGGCGCAUACAGGAAAUGGUAUGCGAGUGACGGUACUUUACCAGAAAGCCACGGCUAACUACGUGCCAGCAGCCGCGGUAAUACGUAGGUGGCGAGCGUUAUCCGGAAUCAUUGGGCGUAAAGAGGGAGCAGGCGGCCGCAAGGGUCUGUGGUGAAAGACCGAAGCUAAACUUUCGGUAAGCCAUGGGAAACCGGGCGGCUAGAGUGCGGAAGAGGAUCGUGGAAUUCCAUGUGUAGCGGUGAAAUGCGUAGAUAUAUGGAGGAACACCAGUGGCGAAGGCGACGGUCUGGGCCGCAACUGACGCUCAUUCCCGAAAGCGUGGGGAGCAAAUAGGAUUAGAUACCCUAGUAGUCCACGCCGUAAACGAUGGUCACUAAGUGUCGGGGGUCAAACCCCGGUGCUGCAGUCAACGCAAUAAGUGACCCGCCUGAGUAGUACGUUCGCAAGAAUGAAACUCAAAGGAAUUGACGGGGGCCCGCACAAGCGGUGGAGCAUG
rnacentral:rRNA from 1 species